CAUCGAAAAUAGCCGAAUUCCGCAUGUCGGAAACGGGGGAACCAGUUUUUUGGGGUGAAUGAUUGCAUGUUGGCAAUCUAGGGCGUCCUUUCGACCGAACCCUUCAGCUAACUUCGUAGGCUCACGAAAGGAGCA
rnacentral:sRNA from 2 species